rnacentral:rRNA from 1 species
GAUGAACGCUGGCGGCGUGCCUAAUACAUGCAAGUCGAGCGAACGGACGAGAAGCUUGCUUCUCUGAUGUUAGCGGCGGACGGGUGAGUAACACGUGGAUAACCUACCUAUCAGACUGGGAUCACUUCGGGAAACCGGAGCUAAUACCGGAUAAUAUUUUGAACCGCAUGAUUCAAAAGUGAAAGACGGUCUUGCUGUCACUUAUAGAUGGAUCCGCGCUGCAUUAGCUAGUUGGUAAGGUAACGGCUUACCAAGGCAACGAUGCAUAGCCGACCUGAGAGGGUGAUCGGCCACACUGGAACUGGGACACCGUCCAUACUCCUACGGGAGGCAGCAGUAGGGAAUCUUCCGCAAUGGUCGAAAGCCUGGCGGAGCGACGCCGCGUGAGUGAUGAAGGUCUUCGGAUCGUAAAACUCUGUUAUUAGUGAAGAACAUAUGUGUAAGUAACUGUGCACAGCUUGACGGUACCUAAUCAGAAAGCCACGGCUAACUACGUG